UCGAACUGGAUGGCAACAUUAUCAUUUACAUACCAUGUUCAUCAUGUUUGUACUUUGUAGUUGCUGUGCAUUAUUUAUGUUAGUCUUGAACUCCUUAAUUUUCUGCAUUGUAUAGGAUGGUCGUUAGCAGCCGAUUUUAGUCUGUUUAAAAUUCUCUAUUGAACUCUAUUUUUGGACUUAGUUUUCCUGUUAAUGGUCAU
rnacentral:lncRNA from 1 species